CUGGAGUGAUGAUGCUUAGCCAAAUCAGAUAUGUGCUCCAAGAGGCAUUGUACCCUGUUCAAAAACAUGGCAUGCCUCUUGUUGAAGCGUGUCUUGGACGAUAUCACAGAGAAUGGUUUUUGCCUGACCAGA